rnacentral:lncRNA from 1 species
AUGCAUUACCAACUAAACCAAUGCCAUGGUUUCAUCACUAUUAUUGUCUUCUUUUCCUUCAGUUCUCCAUUGGUUGCAACCUACAGCAGAAGCAGGAUCUGGAAAGUCUCUCUCAGGUCGAAGCAUUCAGAUAAUAAUCUCUGGCUGUUGAAAGGAGAGGGGAGAUCUGUCAAAGCAGGAAAAUAUUUCAGAUCCGGAUUCAGCUGCCCCACAUCCCCACUAAAGUACCUGAUUGAGCACCACUGCUGUAAAAAUUGUGCCUCCAGCAAUUCUUUCUGA